CCCUUAGAUGUUCUGGGCUGCACGCGCGCUACACUGAUGCGUUCAACGAGUGUACAACCUUGCCCGAUAGGGUUGGGUAACCUUUUGAACACGCAUCGUGAUGGGGAUUGAGUAUUGCAAUUAUUACUCAUCAACGAGGAAUUCCUAGUAAUGAUGAAUCAUCAGUUCAUCGUGAUUACGUCCCUGCCCUUUGUACACACCGCCCGUCGCUCCUACCGAUUGAGCAAUCCGGUGAAUAUUUCGGACCUAGAAUUGUCGGGGCAACUCGUUCAGUUUUGGGAAAGUCAAGUUAACCUUAUUGCUUAGAGGAAGGAGAANUCGUANCA
rnacentral:rRNA from 1 species